CCGGCGACUCCGCUGUACCCAACUGGGUGAUGCUGGAGCGCUUGGCCUUCCGGAGGGACGACCCCGCCUCCUUCCGCGAGGACAGGAGGACCUUCGCUUCCGGCACCACCUCCACCGGCACUCAAUUCGACGUCUCCUUCAUCCUCGCCGAGCCUCCCACCCCCUCGCGCCUCUACCUCUCGUGGCCGGAAGGGCCCAAGCAGGAGAGCCGGGGCCUGGUCAUGGCGGCCAACCGCAACCUCGUCCUCCUCAGGCUCGACUCCCUCAUCGACGAAUCCGAUCCUUUCGGGGAGGUAGUGCAUGAUUACUUCAUCUACAUAGCUGAUCCCUCCUCACAGUGGACACCCCUGCUCAGACGGCUGCCCCCCUGCACCGAGUACGACGAUUAUUUUGAGAGGCAAGUUACUCGCGUUUUGCCGGCGCUGGCUGUUGGUCUGUUGUGCCAUGGCGAAGACGAGUUUGCCGUGGCGCAUCUGGACAUCAGGUCUCGCAAAAAAAAAUCAGGGUCUCGCAAAAAAAAAUUACCUAUCCAAGCUGAGCUAUGCGUGCUACGCUCGUCAUUGUCCUGCAGUGAUGAUGCCAAAUGGGAGACCAAGAUCCUUCCGAUACAGUACCAAUACGAUGAUUUAUCCUCUGAUUUUCUGUACUGGUCAGUGGAUGGUGUAGUUCCCUUCAAGAAUGCCUUGUGCUUUGUUAACUACUGUAGAGGCAUCCUUUUCUGCGACGGCGUCUUUGAAGACAGCCCCAAGGUCUCCUACAUCCGCUUGCCUCUGGAUACUUAUAUCCGAGGGGCUGAUGGCGAAGCACGCAAGGGGAUGUACCAUGGCUUGUGUGUCACUGAAGGUGGCCAUCGGUUGGUAUUUGUUGAUGUUGCCCGUCAUGAUGGAAAAUCUUAUGGCCCGAGCAUGCCCAACACUGGUUUCACCCUCACCUCCCGGACAUUUAAGAUGACAGGGAAUUGCACCACGCCGUGGCAGUGGAAUGAGGAUGCUGUUGUCACUUCAGAUGAACUAUGGCAUGCAAACACCAUGGAGAGUCUCCCUCAUGACAUUGUGAUGCUCCCAUUGCUGAGUAUGGAUAAGGCCAAUGUUGCGCACCUUUCAUUGAUUGACUGGGAUGGUGGAUUCUCAUUAGUUUCCAUCGACUUGAGUAACAUGCAAGUGAUGGGCCCAGUCAUUACAUACCUCAAAGGGAAGGAUGAUACUGCUGAUGCUGACAUCGUCGAGGAAAAGAAAGGAUUAGGUGCACACUUUAUUCCAUCCGAAUUCCCCAAGUUCCUGGAUCUCAGGUAACUUCAGCGUUGCCUCCCACUUUUACUUGAGCACAAUUUUUUUUCAUGCAGCCUUUUGCUCUCUUUUUUUCAGCAGUUAAGGUUUCUGCCAUGUUAUUCUUGAAACCUUUGAGGAAUCAACAGAAUGUGCUGGUUGCUGGGAGUAAUAUGGAUCAAUGUUUUCAAGUCUUUAUGUUGAGUCUAGUCGCUGGGGUACCAACUAGAUGGCUAAUCGUGACUAGGCAACGAUUAAAUGGCGAUUAGCUAUGAGACCAGUCGAUCCACCCUUGCCUAUAGUAGAGAAUGAUAGAGUAUAACACAAAGGUGACGAACUGAUCUCUUGGUUUGAGCCCAACACAUAAUUGUUUUUUUUGGAUUCUUCAAUCUGAAAGUGCAUAAUAGCGUGCCAGCGUUGUGCUUUGUUUCCUUCACUAUUUUGAUUCUACAUGUCAAAUUAUUGAAAGGUUUUGUUCAGUUACCAACAACAUGGAUCCUUAGAAGUAGGUGGCACCCAGCGAAUCAGCAUCAUAUCGAAGAACCCCUAGGUCUUCUAAACAAACCGGCUGGAAUUGUGGAAAUCAAUUAAACUUAAUUAUAUCCAUAGUGCCUUCCUUGUAUAUCAUGUUUCAUUCAGCCAGUAGUAACCUCAGCAACUUGACGGUCUUGGGAAAUUAGGCAAUGGUAGUCUGCCUGAGGUUAAUAUAGGCCCUUUUUGUAUCCGCUUAUUUCCUGCUUAUCAAUGGAAAUAAGCGAUAAGCCCACCCAAAUGCCUAGCUUAUUUCCCGCUUACCUCCCAAGCCGCUUAGCCCACAAUCUGGAAAACAACUAGCGUCCCGCUUAUUCUCUAUGCGGUCUUGGGGCCGCUUCUUGGGCAAGCGAAGCGCUUUUUCCUGAUACCCUCACCCGUCCGCUGCCUGCCGCCCUCCGACCGUCGUCGGCUCCGUCCGCCGCCCGCCUGCCUCCAUCGCUUCCCUGCACAAAUCCCAUCCAGAUCCCGUUGCCAUCAGUCACCAGCACUCCUGCCCAGAUCCCGUCGCCGCCGGUUCCGUUCGCUGCCCGCCGCCGGCCGACCCUACGCUUGGCCCCCUGUGCUUGGCCUCCGGCCGGCCCUGCUGUUCUUUUUUGUGAAGGAGGUGGCGGAGUGCUGGCCGUCUACUGCUGAGUGUUGGUCGUGAGCAGCAUUUGAGCUCGCCGUGCGUGCUGCCGUUGUUGUUGAGAAGGAGCUAGAUAUGGGUGCAUUGCGUCAUGUUAUUGCUGUCGCUAUGGUUCGUGAUUCGUUGUUGUACUCAUGAUGGAUGUUUCCAUACUAGACCGUUCUGUCAUAUGAAUUUCAUAUUAUUGUAAUGAAAUUUCUAUUUAACAAACUCCAAAAAUAUUGGAAUUAUUAUCUUCUCCUCAGAUUCACAAUAAAAAUGAGCUAUUAUCAGCCUCAGGGGCAUUCAGGUCAAUUUACUAGCCAGGACAGACAAUCGACACAAAAUAAUCAGGAUUGCCAAACACCCAGCUUAUACAGACAGCGGAUUCUCCAGACAGCAGGCAGGCUUUUAAGAUAAGCCUGCUUGCCAGAUAAGCGAGUUCAGAAAAACGUAUACAAACAGGACCAUAAAUGUUUCACAGCUUAUUCUGUUGCCUAACUGUUGCUUGUCACGUUGAUCCCAAAAUCGACCAUAAGCUAAGUUAUUUUUUCUUAAUGACGUCCGAGGCACCUGAGAAUCUUUUAUAAUUCUUGGUAACCAUGGAUACUAUCAAAAUAACUUCAGCAAUGGGUGAAUCUAAGACUAUGGGAAGCCUAAAUUUCGAUUUGUACAGAUUAUCUCUGCUGAAAAAAAUUAUUGAAAUCAUCAGCAUGUGUUGUAGCUGACAAUUAUUGUUUCCUAUUUGUAUUGAUGAAGUUCUUGCUACUGUAUUGCAGGAAGAGAGAGAAUCAUCCAUAAGUCCUGUCACCAUAUCGGCUGGCCACCGUCGUCAUGUGUGUUGCUUCUUCAUUUUCCAGUUCUGUUGUGCUGGAUUCUACUGCCGACUUUGUUGAUUGGCUACUACAAUUCUGAGUUUAGUCCUCAGCUUUUGUGUGUUCCCUGCACUUGUGUACUAUAAAUAGCCAGGAAAAACACCUUUACCCGGCUCAUCCGUUGAACUAUAUGAUAAUGCUAGAUGAUGUGUCCAUGCCUUACUAACGUCUUCUACAUGCCAUGCGAGUUAAAAAUCCUGCAAUCAUGUUUCGUGGUAGCAGUUUACCUUUGCACAAUGAAACUCCUCACUAAACCACAGUUCAAUUUGAGGGACUACUGCGUUGUUUUUACAGGGAUCUAAUGCCAUCAAUCAAAUUGUAAAAUACAGACAGGUACGCGUGGAAUGGACACUUGUGUUCAUUCAGAUUUUUGUGAUAUUUCAUACCUAAUGAUUACCAGGUUGUCACGCCCCUACAUGCAAAAUUGGUCUACGAGAUGGAAUAUAAGCUCAAAAGGACGUGAGAGCUGUAUUAUCAUGUAGCUCAUGACCUGGCAGAAGUGAAUAGUUGCACGAAAUACAACAUUGCAAACAAGGUUUUUAUUCAUUUUCUCUGCUGAUGGCACAUGGUAGCAGAAGCAGUGCCACCAAUUGGUGAAAGAUUUUCAGUAAACUGAGUGUUUGACAGAACAAUAUGAUGCCACCAAAGCAAUCUGCAUGAGUUCUCUACCUCCGGAAGUCCAGAUGGUUGCUCUGUUUCAUUCCUCACCAUGGUCAUGGCAGGGCGUGAUGGCACCCCCCCCCUCCCUAGGCGGGGCGCGGAGGCUGCAGGUUCAACUCAGAGUUUAGACCUUAACUUGUUCGUGAGCAAUGCAGAAUGCUACAAAUGUAAUACAGUGGGCAUGCAUGAUGCUGAAACAAACUAGUGCAACUUUUAGUGGAACAAUUGAUGAAUUAUGAUGUGUUGUCCAAGUAAAGGAUCGGUGGUGUUGUUUUGCUGAUCUUUUAGCAAAAAUCUAGUGAUAGUGUGUGGAUAUAUAUCCUAAGUUCCUAAUAACUCAUAGAUGAACAAUGAAUGCUAUAUUGAAUUGAAGCCAUGUUUGUUCUAUUCAAAAUGCAGGGAGCAUGCUCGAGCGGGCUUGGGGGGUCAUGGAGGGUCUGCUAAUGCUGGCACAAAGCCAGACUGGUUCCUUGAAGGGUGAGUAAUUAAUAUCUUUGAUUCAUCUAAGCAGUGCAAAAGUGAUGUGCUUAAUGCCUUGGACAAUGAAGCACCAGCUACUUCUAUGUUUUUUCCACCAAGAUUAGCUCAUGAUUUUGUCACUUUUUCCCACAACCUGCAAGUUUUGAAGCACUUUACUUUUGCCAUGUUAGCCAAAAUUUGGAGACAAGUACAAAGAGUAAGGAUAACCAACUCAUUUCUAGUAUUGGAGCAUCAAAAUCUAGUUCUGGAGCAUCAAAAAGGUAAUACACAGAUCUUAAAAAAUUGGUCAUACUGCUAUUGCUAUUUUGUUGCUACUGUUAUUUUGUUGUCUUUUGUUCAAAUCUAGUUCUAGCAUACACAUGUCAAUAUCAGAUUCAAAUGAACCUCCGCCUACUGCUGCUCCAGUCAAGGCAAAGAGCAAAAGGAAAAAGGAGCCUACUAAAAUGAAAACCACCAUUUCUAUACUGCCACUUGACAGCCCUACAAUGGGCCAAAAAACAAAAGGGUGGAUCCUGCUAGCCCUGCAAUGAGCACAAGGAGCAAAAGAAGGCUCAACCUGUGAUCCUUAUGAAUCUAUAAAUUUGGACUCCGCCAUGAAUCUUUUUAUAUAUCAACCUUUGUGUGUGAACUUGCAUGUGAAUUUGAACUCCUAUGUGAACUUGCAUGUAUAUGUGGUGCCGUUCUGUGAGCUGUUGCGAUAAAAGGAGCUAAGCCUCAGAGCGUUUCCUAGGAUCUGAAUGAAUUUUUCCUUCUUUUUUCUGCUGUCCAGAUCUACUUCUGAGGGAGUUGGAUAUAUUCUAAGGUGCUUGCCAGGUGUUCAAGAGAGGAUUCUGCUUGUUUUUCGUGCGUGUAUAAUGGAGCAACAAGUGGAGGAGGCGAACGGAGCAGCGGUGGAGACCUGCCACAGGGUGCUUGCUUUGCAGAAAAAAAUCAGAAAAAAAAGGCAGGCAGUCGCGUGCAUGCUCCCAGCAAGGAAAAUGAGGCAGAAAAAAAACAAAAAAAUGGCAGCUGCAUGCGCCCGCGCGAUCUGCAUGCACCGGCCAGUCUGCAUGCGUCAGGAGAAGAAGACCCACCUGCACACACCCUCCUUCCCACCCGGCCAGGCCCAGACGCAGGAGACAAGAGAUUAAAGAGGAUAAAUCGAAUCAAUAGCCAACUCCUCUCGUCGUCCUCCCCUCCAAAUCGAGGUAUACCCCAAACCCUAGCCAUCCCCAAUCCGGCCGCCGCGUCUACCGAUCCGUUAGAUUCAUGGCCGCCGCCGCUGCCGGCGACUCCGCUGUACCCAACUGGGUGAUGCUGGAGCGCUUGGUCUUCCGGAGGGACGACCCCGCCUCCUUCCGCGAGGACAGGAGGACCUUCGCUUCCGGCACCACCUCCGCCGGCACUCAAUUCGACGUCUCCUUCAUCCUCGCCGAGCCUCCCACCCCCUCGCGCCUCUACCUCUCGUGGCCGGAAGGGCCCAAGCAGGGGAGCCAGGGCCUGGUCAUGGCGGCCAACCGCAACCUCGUCCU
rnacentral:lncRNA from 1 species